UACCUCUUUCAAAACAAGCAUGAGUAUGGCUUGAGCAAAGAUACUGAUGUGGCACUGUGGCUAGCUUACAGAGCAUACACCCAUCAACCAGACUUAGUUGAAGCGUUUGACUUCGUGGUCGUCAAUUCACUCCUUCACAAUCAGUUUGACGACUUCAAAAAAGCAGAAAACACUGACAUCAGCUACUUAGAAAUGAACAGCCUGUUACAUUUCUACAUCUGUCAACACCCCCAGUCUGGUACUUUCCUGACAAAAAAGUAUGGUAAAACAUACCUAACCUGCACUUGUGGUCAAGUCAAUGAACUAUGUCAAUGGAUCUAUACGAUAUGAGAAAACAACACCCUCAAGACUUACCACAAAGUUCUGUGAUGGGCAAAGAGCAGCAAAAGAUGCCACUUUGCUCAACACCAGACGUGAGCCUUACACAUGGACCUGUGGUGACUCAUUUGCAACCAAUUGAUGUCCCCUUAGACCGUCCACCACCACCUAAGAGACGAAAGUCUAAUCAGUCUGUACCUAAGAGUCAAAAGACCAGGUAUGCUGGGAGUCUCUGGAUACCUGACUUAGAUCUACGUUACAGGGAUAGGGCAGUUGUAAAGAGAGGAAAACUAUGUGACAAGCAUAUAUGUAUGCUGCCCAUGAAGUGCUGAGGUAUCAGUUCCCUCAUCUGCAUGGUCUUCAAUCGACAUUAUACUUACUCAAAAAGAGUUUAAAGCAAUGCAAUGUCAUGACUCUGUUGUAAGAGCCGUUCAGAUACUAUUUGUUGAGGAAAGAGAGCACUGGGUUGUUUCCAGCCUCACCAAUGGAAAACUGAGACUAUACGACAGCUGUUCAACUGGAGAAUUAACCUCAAGUCUUUAAGUACAGCUAGCUCAAAUAUACGGCAAUCAAUUUGCGGUAAACAACAAACUCAAAGUUUACAUUGAGCCUGUACAGCAGCAAGAAGGAGAAAUGGACUGUGGUGUUUUCAGCAUUGCAAAUGCAUACAAUGCUGCACAGGCGAGGAGUACGAAAGAUGUAACGUAUGACUCACAACAAAUGCGUUCACACAUUCAGCACUGUUUUGAAGCUAAAACGUUCAGCACUUCUCCUCAAUCUAAAAAUUCGGCAGCAAUCAACAGAUGUGAUCCCAAACAGAUAAUCAUCGAGCUGUACUGCACUUGUGGUCUUCCAGAGAUAUAUGAUAGCCGAAUGACCGAGUGUACAGAAUGCCAAAAGUGGUUUCACUUUAAACGCAUAAACAUCAAGGUCAGGCCAAGAGGAUGGCUGUGUAUAACAUGUAGAUCUAAUUCAUGUUAACUGUAUCACCAAUUGUUAUUAAAUAGCUAGCUAGCAAGCUAUAUUAUAGAAUUUAUUAUUAAUUAUUGAAUAUUAUUGUUUUGCCAUUAUUAUACGUAGACCUCCA